CCUGUUCCAAUCAUCCUUAUAUCGCGUUAAUGGAAUUUAUGAAAUUGCCUACCGUUCAAAUCGCUCUCUGUUGUUAGCACCACACUGAUUAACUACGAUGUUCCAAUUUUUUAGAAUUAUGUCCGACAUAAUUCUAAUUUUUGCUGUUACAGCAGAUAGUUAUGGUGUAAUGGCACGCAGGAAUAAGUCAUCCCUGUCCUCCAAAAAGCCCAUGAAAAGGUAUUUGGUAAGCUAUGUCUUUUCCAAUAUCAAAUCCAAUGUAUCACAAUCUGUGGACUUUCUACUCAAAAACUAGAUUGAUUAAUUGAUAAUUCAUUGCUGAUUGUUCACGCGCCCUGUAUGGAAGUAUAUAAAUGGUAAUCCGCAUACUCCAGGAAGAAUUGAAGCAAUCUCAAAAGAAAAGAAGGGAAUCUGGAUCCUUCGUCGGAUCGUCAAAGAGCUUAGAGGGGAGCUCUACGCUUCACUGGCCAUGCAAAGCAGGGAGAGUGACGGAGGCGGAGGCACUGCUGGCUGCUGGAACGGACAUUAACAAGCUGGACAGAACGCAGUUUAACCCUUUCAUGGACGCGAUCAACUCAGGACAGGUCGACUGUGCUAGAUGGCUGCUGAGGCAAGACGGUUUAAAGCUUCAGACCGAGAUAUGGUCGUUUUGUAGGGAGAGGGUGCUAGAGUCAUUGCUAACAGCUUAACAGAAGGUAGGGAGAGCGAUCCAUGGCUGUCCCGAUAGACCCACUCAGACUCCUGCCGGAAGAUACUCCUCCGGUUGAUCCAGAUGAGACAGUUCUAGCAGAUGAUCAGUUACAGACUGAAGAACAUAUCCCACAGAUCAAUGCGUCAACAUCUGCAAAUGAAGCUGAUAUCAGAAUCGACAUGAUGAUGGUACUACACGAGAUGCUCAUG